rnacentral:rRNA from 1 species
GAUGAACGCUGGCGGCGUGCCUAAUACAUGCAAGUCGAGCGAACGGACGAGAAGCUUGCCUCUCUGAUGUUAGCGGCGGACGGGUGAGUAACACGUGGAUAACCUACCUAUAAGACUGGGAUAACUUCGGGAAACCGGAGCUAAUACCGGAUAAUAUUUUGAACCGCAUGGUUCAAAAGUGAAAGACGGUCUUGCUGUCACUUAUAGAUGGAUCCGCGCUGCAUUAGCUAGUUGGUAAGGUAACGGCUUACCAAGGCAACGAUGCAUAGCCGACCUGAGAGGGUGAUCGGCCACACUGGAACUGAGACACGGUCCAGACUCCUACGGGAGGCAGCAGUAGGGAAUCUUCCGCAAUGGACGAAAGCCUGACGGAGCAACGCCGCGUGAGUGAUGAAGGUCUUCGGAUCGUAAAACUCUGUUAUUAGGGAAGAACAUAUGUGUAAGUAACUGUGCACAUCUUGACGGUACCUAAUCAGAAAGCCACGGCUAACUACGUG